rnacentral:rRNA from 1 species
AGCGAACGCUGGCGGCAGGCCUAACACAUGCAAGUCGAACGAACCUUUCGGGGUUAGUGGCGGACGGGUGAGUAACACGUGGGAACGUGCCUUUAGGUUCGGAAUAACUCAGGGAAACUUGUGCUAAUACCGAAUGUGCCCUUCGGGGGAAAGAUUUAUCGCCUUUAGAGCGGCCCGCGUCUGAUUAGCUAGUUGGUUGAGGUAAUGGCUCACCAAGGCGACGAUCAGUAGCUGGUCUGAGAGGAUGAUCAGCCACAUUGGGACUGAGACACGGCCCAAACUCCUACGGGAGGCAGCAGUGGGGAAUCUUGCGAAAUGGGCGAAAGCCUGACGCAGCCAUGCCGCGUGAAUGAUGAAGGUCUUAGGAUUGUAAAAUUCUUUCAACGGGGACGAUAAUGACGGUACCCGGAGAAGAAGCCCCGGCUAACUUCGUG